UAGGGAAUUUUGCGCAAUGGGCGGAAGCCUGACGCAGCAACGCCGCGUGAGCGAUGAAGGCCUUCGGGUUGUAAAGCUCUGUUGGACGGGAAGAAAAGGCGCGUGAAGAAUGCGUUAUGACGGUACCGUUCGAGGAAGCUCCGGCUAACUACGUGCCGGCAGCCGCGGUAAUACGUAGGGAGCGAGCGUUGUUCGGAAUUACUGGGCGUAAAGGGAGCGUAGGCGGGUUUGUAAGUUAGGUGUUUAAUACAUGGGCUUAACCCAUGUCAGGCAUUUAAUACUGCAAGCCUUGAGUGCGGGAGAGGGCGAUGGAAUUCCAGGUGUAGCGGUGGAAUGCGUAGAUAUCUGGAAGAACACCGACAGCGAAGGCAGUCGCCUGGCCCGAGACUGACGCUGAAGCUCGAAAGUCGGGGGAGCAAACAGGAUUAGAUACCCUGGUAGUCCCGACCGUAAACGAUGAACACUAGCUGCCGGGGGAGUCAAUCCUCUCGGUGGCGAAGCCAACGCAUUAAGUGUUCCGCCU
rnacentral:rRNA from 1 species